rnacentral:rRNA from 1 species
GAUGAACGCUGGCGGCGUGCUUAACACAUGCAAGUCGAACGGUGAAGCCAAGCUUGCUUGGUGGAUCAGUGGCGAACGGGUGAGUAACACGUGAGCAACCUGCCCUGGACUCUGGGAUAAGCGCUGGAAACGGCGUCUAAUACUGGAUAUGAGACGUGAUCGCAUGGUCGUGUUUGGAAAGAUUUUUCGGUCUGGGAUGGGCUCGCGGCCUAUCAGCUUGUUGGUGAGGUAAUGGCUCACCAAGGCGUCGACGGGUAGCCGGCCUGAGAGGGUGACCGGUCACACUGGGACUGAGACACGGCCCAGACUCCUACGGGAGGCAGCAGUGGGGAAUAUUGCACAAUGGGCGGAAGCCUGAUGCAGCAACGCCGCGUGAGGGAUGACGGCCUUCGGGUUGUAAACCUAUUUUAGCAGGGAAGAAGCGAAAGUGACGGUACCUGCAGAAAAAGCGCCGGCUAACUACGUGCCAGCAGCCGCGGUAA